GGGGCUGUAGCUCAGUUGGGAGAGCAACGGGUUCGCAAUCCGUGUGUCGGGGGUUCGACUCCCCUCAGCUCCACCA
rnacentral:tRNA from 1 species